AUUGAACGCUGGCGGCAGGCCUAACACAUGCAAGUCGAACGAGUGGCGGACGGGUGAGUAAUGUCUGGGAAACUGUCUGAUGGAGGGGGAUAACUACUGGAAACGGUAGCUAAUACCGCAUCCCAUCAGAUGUGCCCAGAUGGGAUUAGCUUGUUGGUGGGGUAACGGCUCACCAAGGCGACGAUCCCUAGCUGGUCUGAGAGGAUGAUCAGGCACACUGGAACUGAGCAACGGUCCAGACUCCUACGGGAGGCAGCAGGGGGGAAUAUUUGACAAAGGGCGGAAGCCUGAUCCAGCCAUGCCGCGUGUGUGAAGAAGGUCUUCGGAUUGUAAAGCGCUUUAAGUUGGGAGGCGUUACCAACAGAAUAAGCACCGGCUAACUUCGUGCCAGCAGCCGCGGUAAUAC
rnacentral:rRNA from 1 species